rnacentral:rRNA from 1 species
UACGGGGGGUGCGAGCGUUGUCCGGAAUCACUGGGCGUAAAGGGCGCGUAGGCGGUCUUCUAAGUCUUGUGUGAAAUCCCUCGGCUUAACUGAGGAACUGCACGGGAUACUGGGAGACUUGAGUUCGGGAGAGGGAAGCGGAAUUCCGGGUGUAGCGGUGAAAUGCGUAGAUAUCCGGAGGAACACCGGUGGCGAAGGCGGCUUCCUGGACCGACACUGACGCUGAGGCGCGAAAGCUAGGGGAGCAAACGGG